GCCGGGUAGCUAUGUUCGGAAAAGAUAACCGCUGAAAGCAUCUAAGCGGGAAACUUGCCUCAAGAUGAGAUCUCACUGGAACCUUGAGUUCCCUGAAGGGCCGUCGAAGACUACGACGUUGAUAGGUUGGGUGUGUAAGCGCUGUGAGGCGUUGAGCUAACCAAUACUAAUUGCCCGUGAGGCUUGACCAUAUAACACCCAAGCAAUU
rnacentral:rRNA from 2 species